UCGGGAUGAGUAAAGUGGCGCACGGGUGAGUAACACGUAGGUGACCUACCGUUUAGAGGGGAAUAACCAGAAGAAAUUUUGGCUAAUGCCGCAUACGAAGAGCAAAUCUAAGAGUAGCUCUUGAAAGAAUGCCUCUGUAUAUGCAUUCACUAAUCGAUGGGCCUGCGGGACAUUAGCUAGUUGGUGGGGUAAUGGCCUACCAAGGCUACGAUGUCUAUCCGGUCUGAGAGGAUGAUCGGACACACUGGAACUGAGACACGGUCCAGACUCCUACGGGAGGCAGCAGUGGGGAAUAUUGCGCAAUGGGGGAAACCCUGACGCAGCAACGCCGCGUGAGUGAGGAAGGACUUCGGUCUGUAAAGCUCUGUUAAUGUGGAAAAAUGGUUAGUGGUCUAAUAGGCCAUUGAUUUGAUGGUACACAUAGAGGAAGCACCGGCUAACUUCGUGCCAGCAGCCGCGGUAAUACGAAGGGUGCAAGCGUUGUUCGGAUUUAUUGGGCGUAAAGCGCGCGUAGGCGGACCUGCAAGUCAGAUGUGAAAUCUCGGGGCUCAACCUCGAAACUGCGUCUGAAACUACAGGUCUAGAAUCUUGGAGGGGGAAGGGGAAUUUCGCAUGUAGGGGUAAAAUCCGUAGAUAUGCGAAGGAACACCAGAGGCGAAGGCGCCUUCCUGGACAAGUAUUGACGCUGAGGCGCGAAAGCGUGGGGAUCAAACAGGAUUAGAUACCCUGGUAGUCCACGCUGUAAACGAUGAAUACUAGGUAUUGGAGGAUUUGACCCCUACAGUGCCGUAGCUAACGCGUUAAGUA
rnacentral:rRNA from 1 species